rnacentral:rRNA from 1 species
UACGUAGGGUGCAAGCGUUAAUCGGAAUUACUGGGGCGUAAAGCGUGCGCAGGCGGUGAUGUAAGACAGAUGUGAAAUCCCCCGGGCUCAACCUGGGAACUGCAUUUGUGACUGCAUCGCUGGAGUACGGCAGAGGGGGAUGGAAUUCCGCGUGUAGCAGGUGAAAUGCGUAGAUAUGCGGAGGAACACCGAUGGCGAAGGCAAUCCCCUGGGCCUGUACUGACGCUCAUGCACGAAAGCGUGGGGAGCAAACAGG